GGUUUUACAGGCAUACUACAAUCCAGGAUUGCUGUGCUCUAUGUGCUAUGUAUAGUCCUAUUAGUAGCUAUUUGUUGCAAGAUACUUGGAGCCAAAUAAUGUUUACAGUAUAGGUUCCUGGCUACUCUUUAUGCUGUAAUUUCACUCUGUCUAUCAUGGGCAGUAUUAGAAAAUACACUGGGUUUUCACACACUAUCAGUAUUUUACCUGGAUUGUAGUGGAGAAUUUAGCAUAUUGAUGCAUGCAAUGGGAAAAAAAAGAAUUUUGUUAAAAUUUGUAAAUGUUCAUAAAAAUCCCAGAUAUACAGUGGGAUGA
rnacentral:lncRNA from 1 species